UACGUACGGUGCGAGCGUUGUCCGGAAUUAUUGGGCGUAAAGGGCUCGUAGGCGGUUUGUCGCGUCGGGAGUGAAAUCCACUGGCUUAACUGGUGGCUUGCUUUCGAUACGGGCAGACUGGAGGUAUGCAGGGGAGAACGAAUUCCUGGUGUAGCGGUGAAAUGCGCAGAUAAUCAGGAGGAACACCGGUGGCGAAGGCGGUUCUCUGGGCAUGUCCUGACGCUGAGGAGCGAAAGCGUGGGGAGCGAACAGGA
rnacentral:rRNA from 1 species